UCCCAUGUGGUCUAGUGGUAAGGGUUCCUGGCUCUCACCCAGGUGGCCCGGGUUCGAUUCCCGGCAUGGGAA
rnacentral:tRNA from 1 species